rnacentral:rRNA from 1 species
GGCGUCCUCGUCUCCUUUGGUAAGCCGUGCAUCCGUGCGGCGCGGCCCGCUUUAGGUGCACCUGGAAAAAAAAGGCGAGAGGUAGUUGGCGCCUCUCUCGUCCCAUCGCCCGCGCCGCGCCGCUCAGGAAAAGAAGGGAAAAGGAUCCAUCCCCGCUCCGAGUCCGAUCCAUCCGAUCCAGCCACCGCCUUCCCAUCCCAGCCGUGCAACGCCACGCAGCAAGGGGUGGAGGUGGAGGUGGAGGAGCAGGGCAGGAGGGAUCCCCACAAAAACAGCAGCACCAGCGACAGCGAGCCGGGUUAGACAGAGGAGUCACGCGACGAGCGAGAAAAACGAGGCGAGAGCUUCGACCCAGCCAAGCCCGAAUCUGAAUGGCCUCCGCCACCCCGGCGGUGCCCGACCCCGCCCUCGGCCUCCGCCACCCCGGCGCUCUCGCCCGCCGCAUCGCCAUGGCGCGCGGCGCCGCCGUCGCGCCGGCGCUCCGUCCCUGGCUCCUCUUCGACGCCGUGCCCCUCGUCGUCGUCGUCCUCAUCGCCNNNNNNNNNNNNNNNNNNGGCUACUGGAUCUACAGGCUCGCCACCGACGGGUCCAAGCACCCUGCGCGGAGCAAGAAACACUAGACAGACAGCAGCCGCAGGCCCGCAGUGGCUGCAUGGGUGCUUGUAGCUUGUUAGCCGUCUAGGUUUUUGCAUCUCUGCUUCUCGAUCUCCAAGGUUUCCCGUGUAAAGUGAUGGCGUGGCGGAACUCAUGAAAGAAGUGGAGGUAGGAAACCUGUCACUCGGAGUGAUCUGUUCAGAUGUUGGCUUCAAACGUGGUGUGAGCUGCUUCUUGAACCUCCACGCGGUGAAGUUGCAAUGGCUCAACUCGGCAAACUCGGUAAAUAUUGCUCUCAUUACUAAGGACAUCUCCCAGGAAAUCUCUGACUUCCGACCAAUUAGUCUUACCCAUGAUGUGGCCAAGCUCGCCAAGACCCUUGCCACUAGGCUGACUCCCCACAUGAAUGAUAUAGUGUUCAUCAGAGUGAUUUUGUCAAGAAGAGAAGCAUAUAUAACAACUUCAUCUUUCGUGAUUGGAUCUCAACACUUCUCUUUUCGGCGUCCUCAAGAGUCUUGCUCAAUGGACUUGCCAGUGAUACUGACCAAGCAUGAUCAUGGGCUUCGGCAGGGUGACCGAGUGUCCCCCUUGCUUUUCAUGCUCGCCACUGACUUGCUGCACCAUGUCCUCAACAAGCCACUUCUCAAGGAAAGCUUCACCCUUUGUCAGGAGGCACAUGCGAUGCUGCUGUUUUUUAUGCCCCCUUCAAGGACUUUCAAUUCCUCGUCACCAUGCUCGCAUCCUUCGUACUGCUACAACAGAAAGAAACACGAGAAGGAUAAACGAUGUAUACCCUCCAAUCGGCCACGCGGCGGUGGUGGCGGUGGCAGCAGCCGCGGCAUCCUCGGCGGCCUUCUUGUCGGCCUCGGCCUUCUCAGCGGCGGCACAGUCGGCGUCGGUCGACAUGGUGAUGACGAAGAUACGUGGGCUGAACCCACGUCCAAGUCGGUAGCCCAUGAUCCGACGUCUCAGAUCGUGGCCCUACCUUUCAAAGACUCUCCGUUCCUGACCGGCAAAAAGAAGCGCAUAGGAUACUGCUACAAUAGAAAGAAACACGAGAAGGAUAAACGAUGUAUACCCUCCAAUCGGCCAUGCGGCGGUGGUGGCGGUGGCAGCAGCCGCGGCAUCCUCGGCGGCCUUCUUGUUGUCCUCGGCCUUCUCAGCGGCGGCACGGUCGGCGUCGGUCGACAUGGUGAUGACGAAGGUGAUGCGGACUUUUACCAGGAUUCACUUCAACAUCUUGAAGACAACACCGCUGGUAAAUUGGCAUCUUGGAGAGGAAAGCAUGUCGCUAUCUCGCGUUGCAUGACCUUGCUCAAGGUGGUCCUUCGGACGGGGUUGAUGGUGACAAUUUUUUGGGAGUCCUUCUGGCUUCUACCACAUUACACCGCAGGACCUUGUGAUGUAGAGACCUACGUGGCCGCGCCCGCGGUGCCGUCCCGCGCACUGCAUGCGGGCGUGCAUGGCGCAUGGUCCGCGACCUCCUCCAACACGUACACCACCCUGCCUCCAGCUGCGUACGGCACCCCAGCUCCAGGCGCAUCGCUCGCGCAUGGUGCGUACGGCGCCCCGCCUUCAAGCACGUCGCCCACGGAUCCAGUCACGUACAACGCCCUGUCUCCAGCCGCAUACUGCGCGUACGACGCUCCACCCCGACUGCGUCCAACGCGUUGA